rnacentral:rRNA from 1 species
GAUAAACGCUGGCGGCGCACAUAAGACAUGCAAGUCGAACGGAAGUCGUUGUAAUGAUAUGGACAUGAACGGAGAACUUGUUCAAAGAGAUUGAAAGUUGAUUUACAACAAUGGCUUUAGUGGCGGACUGGUGAGUAACACGUAAGCAACCUGCCUAUCAGAGGGGAACAACAGUUAGAAAUGACUGCUAAUACCGCAUAUGCCUUAGCAACACAUGUUGCAAAAGGGAAAGGAGUAAUCCGCUGAUAGAUGGGCUUGCGUCUGAUUAGAUUGUUGGUGGGGUAACGGCCUACCAAGUCGACGAUCAGUAGCCGGACUGAGAGGUUGAACGGCCACAUUGGGACUGAGAUACGGCCCAGACUCC